AAAAAUAAAAUAGCAUGCGCCUGUGUUGUACUAGUGCUUUUAAAUUUUAGAUGUAGUAAAUUUCAAAAAAACUGUUAACGACUUCUCUUUGCGGAACCUCAACUGACAUAUCAAAGCAAAAUAAGAAAUCCUAUCGUAUAGAAUAUCUGUCAAGAAUGAUCUGCAGAAACUCAUCAAGAUUCUAAUUUAAUAAAGAAAAAGAAUUUAAACAAGAAGCUGUCUGCAAUGAGAAUUCCGCGCCCGUCGGACCACAUUCGCUAUUUUCAUCCUUCGGCUUUUUCAUCUGUAUUAAAUUAGAACUUCCGGAAUACUGUUGUCGUUUCAUUUAUUUGUCAUUUCUGGUUUUAACGAAUACCUGUAAUUAUAUUGCACAUAUUGAAAAAAUCAAUCAUUUAUAAACGUCCAAUUAACUACUUGAGUGAUACCUGUCGCUUAAUCAACAUUAAUCUAAAUCAACUGAUAAGCUUGGAUGCAGAUAACAACUAGAUGCAUUGACACCAAAGAAAAUGAAGAAGAAAUAUAAGAAAUUAGGUCAGGGACUUGUAAUAAUUAAACUCGUAAAUUAAAAAAAUUAAUAAUCUUACUUAAAAACAGAAAAAGUUUUCAGGUAUUAUUACACCACCGACAUGUUGCGAGAAAGCCUUUAAAACUUAUUAUUUUCAUCGCGUUUGGUACUUGAAACUUUUGUUCAAGUUUCAUAUUACGCGUUACAUUUAAGAAACAAGUUAGCACAAUAUCUUUAAACUUAUAAUAUAAUAGUAGUAGGUAAAUAAUUAUAAUGAUAAUUUUACUUGAAAGUUUUCUAUGAAUAGAAUACAGAAUAUUAACGCUUGUUAGCGAAGUGUACUCCAAACUGCUUCCUCAGUAUCUCCAAUAAACUCGCCGUAAAAUCCGCUCGAGGAUACAGUAGCGACGAAUAAAUUAAAAACACUCUUCCUAUAUACUGCCAUCAAAACAUUCGCGUCACCAUUAUUAAACGAGCUCGAGGAAAGCUCGUCUACAAGGACGGAGAAAGCUCCGAUAGAUGUCUCGGUAACUGUGUAUCCGAUGUUAAAAAAAUAUUGAAUUAUAAAAAGGAAGAGAGAGAAGAAAAUUUCACUUGGCACACAACAGAGGCUAUAUAUGAUAGAGAUAAAAAUCGUGCGCUCUCGCGCUCACGCACCCGCGCUCGUGAUUUUCCCGGGUACGCUGACCGAUGCAAAACUACUGAAAAUGUCACAGGCGUGACAGAGGCCCGGUGGAUGGAUGUUACUGGAUCGGGUUAAGUGGCUCUGGAGAAAGCCAGCUACCUCCGCCUUUUCCUUAUGAAGUCACGAAACUGCCGGCGCGGUACCUCUAUACCGCCGUGUCUACCCGCCGGCAAAUCAUCACGCCGGCCUUCACCCGGCGGUCGCGUCGCAUCGUCAAUGCAAAUCGACGAGGAAUAAUAACGUCGCGCGGUCGUAAGCCGGGAAAUUUUAUCCUCUUAAUCGGGACAACAUGGAUAAACGCUGAAACUCGCGGACCCGCGGGGAUUCCGCGUGGGUUUAUCGUGAGAUAUACGUGAAAGUUGUAUUAGAACCUGCCGCGUUCGCGGAUUCAUUGCGACGCGAAAGUCUCACGAUCGUUGGAAUACACGCGAAUUCGUAAUUAAAAUAAUUUGAAAAAUAUAUGUUUGAGAUAUAAUAUAAUCGCAACAAAAUGCAGGAUAGUCCAAAUGUUCUUCAUGUUUAUUCAUGAUGAGGGAAUAAUAUGAAAUGAAUAUUAUGAAAUAUUAUGAGGUAAUAACAUGUGAGACUGGCAGGGAAAAUAUUAAUAUUUUCUGUCAAGCAUUAUUUUGAUUCAGAAUAUCACUGAUACCAGCUUUAUUAAAUUCGCGGUUUGAUAGCGGUUUCUGCGAAUUUUGUAGAUGCAGAUCGCACUCGGAAAGUCUGUUUAAUGACCGUGGUCUUUGAGAGCGAAUCGUCGUUAAUUACAUUGUAGGUAUUAACGCCGCAACGUGGAGAAGAGUUCGGAAGGAAAAAUGCAAAUUAGCUGUUGUUGCAAAAAUGUAAAUGAACCGCGGAAUAAAACAGCGGGGGACGGAAGAUUGAAACGCACCAGUGAAACGCUGUCUCGAGUUCUCCCAAGGACUGACAACAAAUCGCAAGUUAAAAGGAGCUUCGCUAAUCGCGCGAUCAUCUUAUUUACUCUUGAAAGUACGUGUUUUCACGACAGGUAAUCAUAAGUUUGUGCCUCUUAUCACAGCUCGUCGCACCGCUCUCAAUUCCUCGUCAAUGCACAGCUGAAAAAGGCGCCGCCUUUUAAUCCCGGCUCGAGAUCAGAAUGACCUGUAUAUUUCGAGAAAAACUUCACCAGGAAACGUAACCAUUCCACGUAACACCUUUCGCUUUAUCUUCGCACGCAUUUACCGUCUUAGUCCUACGCAGCGCAUUUGCCUGUCGCAUAGAAAACUAAUUGUUCAUAAAACUCAUUGACGCAUUACCAUUCUCAUUCCGAUCUGCAAUGGCCGGUUCAAAGAAGUACGUAUAAUUUUAUAGGUCAAAGAGUAAAUUAAAUUAGCAUAUCAAAUACAAGCAUGCAAAAGUGUGCUCGAAAGCGCGGCGAACAUUCAAAAGUGGUUAAGAGGUGCAAAGUAAUUAAAUAUGUAAAUAUGUAAAAAUAUUGUAUCCUGAUAGUCAUAUUUUCACCGGAGAUAGAUUUAUAUCUCUCAUGGAUCGUGUACGAGACCGGUGCGGAAAAGAAAAGUAAACGGCACACUUUUGAUCUGAUGAUGAGACUUUAGCCGCGUGCGGCGACUAGCGUGACCAGCUGGGUGACCAAUCGGCCACGCAAAAAUAGUGCACGUGAAGGUUGUGGGAAACGGUUGAUCCGCGUUCCCGGUCUCGUGAGGUGCUGCUGAUGGAACCAGCGAGAUAGCAAGCUGCCUGGCAGAGCGAAGUGCGUCGGCGCUACGACGUCGUCGCGCCGGUGAUCGAUCAACGGAUUUUCUUCAGGAUCAGCGCGACCCGGCGUAGCCGCGCCGCAGGGUCACGGUCUGACCUUGGUAAUUCGCGAUGACGUCGCCAGAAUUUCACGUAUACGUGACGCACAUGGAUGUGACGCUCGAUACUCGAUGACGUUUCUGAGGAACGAGCACGCAUGUCUUCCUCCGACAAGGAAACGCGAAAAACUUAUGGAAACCACUGAUGGAGGACUUUAAAUAUUUUGGACGUGGUGCAGAAUAACUGCGCUGCGAGCAACCUGAUCUGGUGAAAGAUAAACGAGAAUCAUGCGGCUUUUUUUAUCCUUCCACAAAGAAGGGAUAUGGAGAAACCAAGAGGAAUGUACAUUGCAAAUUCACCGGAUAUCGGUAGAAACGAGGCGACGUUUGCGUCUGUUUACGGAAGCCUAACGCGUCCAAAGCGAGGGAAAAAUGAACGUGCGCAUCACGUGAAAGAGCAAUCCUGACCUAGUUUUCCAGCCAUGUCCUGGGUCAUGACCAUCGAUUGUUUCCCCUCUCUGGCCAUGGCGUCGCGACCCAAAUGCUUCGGAUCUUCCCUGGGAUUAGGCGCUGUAACGAUCCCCGGGAAUUUAUGGCGUCGCGCAAAGUGUCUUUCGCGCGCGGUAGCUCUACCACUUCUCGUCGCUCUCGUAAUUGUGAUAUCGCGUCUCGGGAUCUGGUCAGGUCGGUUACAGGUGUCUCCGACCAGCGCGUAUGAAGCGGUUUAAUUGGGAUUUAUGUCGACAUCGCAGUCUUUCCGGAUAUUUCGCUGGUAGCCGCGAGAGAUUCGCGCGUCUCGGAGCCUGUUCUCAGGAUGAUCUUUCACUGAGAGACUCGUUUAAAUCUACGUGCGAACCGUGAGCCAAAUUGGACGCACGAGUGAUGAGAGAUAGACAAGAUUCUUCCUCCACUUACGCAUUUCUUCAAAUUGAGACCGGGAUGCAAAGAGAGAAGAAAGAGAAAGAGAGAAAGGAGGGAACACAGUAACGAGGCGAUCACGUGGAGCAUGUGUACUCGUAAGUAAAUGAGAUUCCAUUCAAUGAUGGACGACGCCGUGCGCCGAAAGAUACAGGUCCUGACCUACUUCAAGCCAGUCACGUUUGCGAUCAAGGAUUGACCCUUAGGUACUCUCUAAAGAUGUAUUCCUAAAACGGAAGUUAAUUCGAUGACCAUGAUUACACGAUGAAGAGGACCCAGCAGGAGGGUAGGAUGGUCUUACACUUGGAGCUUAUUCCGACAAACGUGAACAGAGAUGUUAGAUGUCACCGCUCUGGAAUUCUCUCAUCCAAAAGUCACCGAUGAGGCUUAGAGUACCGUAUGAGUCUAACAUGAUUUAGAACACCACGAGAGGCACCGUAAAUUUCUACUCCCGGUAUUACCUUGACCGAAAAGACGCACAACAGUUGUGUUGCUUUGAUUAUAGAACAUUGUACGUAUUCUUCUGUGAUCGGUAUGGACAUUGAGUAGUAUUCUAAGUUUGUAAUUUUACCGGUAAACAACACUCAACAAAUAAAAUUAAUACAGAGUUUUCAAGGUUUCAGCAUCAAAAAACUUAGAGACUUAGAGCGCGCCUAGAUGCACUGGCAAAAACAGCUGUGAAAAUAAAUUUGUAAAACUUUCGCGCAGUGUCGUUUGUUUAGAGAACGACUGGCAAAAACUUUGGGGCUGCAAAAUUAUAUAUAAACUGCAGAAUCCUGCUCCCCUUGCAGUAUAUUUUAUCGCAAACCUAGGUCAGGCUAUUUUUACGAGACACUCUUGCAUUAAUAAUAAAACUUAAGUAACACUACAUAAUCAAGGAGAAAAAGUAUGUGAUCGAUUAUUUAUUCGAUUAUUAAAAGUGCAAGGUCGGUUAUACUAUGAUACAACAUUGUAUUUCAAAAUUGCUUUCAAACUAUUAGCAAGCAUCUACUUUUUCAAUUUUCUACUUCAUGAUUUUUCUCACGAGUACUAAUAGUAUACUAAUACUAUAUAAUAGUAAUAUACCACGAAGUUAUCUAAGGAAUUCAUGAGGGAUAAACAUACAAAGUUUGCUAAACAUCAACCGGGAAAUGAAUAUUGCAACAGACUCAGCAACAAUAUGAGGAAGUCCAGAUUCCAACGAAAUUAUUCGAAUGCGUGGUUGAGCAUUAAUACAAAACAGUACCUGAAGUGAAAGAACAUACCGAGACCGUUAUCAAUUACGCAUUCCUGCGUUGCAAGGCUGCGUUUAAGAGAGCCACAUAUGGAUUCUUCAAGAGUCGUCAUAAUUUCAUUAUGAUUACACGGGAAGCAAAUGGUUUCGUGGUUUCACCUCUCUCGUACGGGACACAAUUGUCAAUUAUUGAUGCACGUCCGCGACGACAACGCGUUGCCGUUGCUUUAGAAUUGUUGAAUCGGUUGCCAUGAAUUAUGUUUCCUACAGUGAGCUCUAAUCAAAAUCUAUUAGCAGCCCGUUACAACUGAUUAUGAUUGCUCGAUAUCAAAACUAUAAUAUUGAUAACAAAUGUUCAUUACGUUGAAGAUAAAGUAUCUAUUAAGGUCAUGUAUGAAUUGGUGUGUAUACUUAAUGUUACUAUGAUAUAUGCUAUUAUCUGAAUAUUACUACUAAUUAUUUAAGUAUUGAUACAUCGGUUAAGAGUAUGUGAACGAACACGAAAAUUAUAUAUAAAUGUUAAUUAUAUGUAUAUUUCAUUAGCUAUUUAUGUAUCUGAAAAGAUAUUAAUAUUAUCAAUAAUUAGUAAUUCUUUAUGAAUAUUUAUAAAAACAUCUCAAAAUGUAAAAUAUUCUAUAGCUUGCAAAAGUUUUACAUAGUUUUAUAUAGUUACAGAAGCAUUAUUUAAAGAAAAAUUAUUUAAAGAAUUAUUAAUUAUUUAUUAAUAAUAAUAUUAGUGAAUAAUAUUAAUAAAUUUAUUGUUCUCAUUAUUUUUGUACAAUUUUUUACAUAUAAAUGUACGAUUAUAAGCGAAAGGACAAAAAUUAUAUUCUUCCGACGUCGGUACAGACUCGCAUGAUUAAUCAGACAAAAUCGACACAGUCAUGUCCAUUUGACUCCGAAAUGAAGUGAAAUUCGACUACGUGACGUGCCAAUUAAGAUUCCUGGUAGCGAAUUGCCAUCCGCGAAAGCCUUGUCAAACGUUUCGUCUCGCUCCGGUUACACAAAUAGGAUUACGAGUGUAACCUGUUUCCUUUGUGGAGACGGAUUAUGUUAAUGAGCAGUGAAACAAUAAACGGCGAUAUACACCGUACGUGUACAAAUUACAGCUUAAUAGCUCCAACAAAUGAUAAAUAUUUUACGGUCAAUUAAUAAUUUAUACCUCUCAUGAGUAGGCGGUAUUACGUAUAACAUGUUGCGAAACGUUAAGAUAUGCAAUCCAUUUGUAGAGAAUACAUAUAAAAUAUCAAAGUAAAAAAAGUUCAAGUGUGAAAACUGUGCAGCAUUUGAUGCAUAGGUUUUGCUGUCCCCUCUUUAGCCUCUCAAUAAAUGUUUAAUGACACGCAUGCAGAUUUGCUAGUGAUUUUCCGGCUUAGUAUGGCCAAAUUUGCGCAUCGCACGCUUUCGCUGGAAACAUGAAAAUAAUUAGGAUUAGACGAUAUUGCAAUUUCCGCUUGCAACUCGCGGCACCAUUAUCGCAGUAAUGAGGAGCGUUUAUGAGGGUUUCAAGCUUCUCUCAACGCGUGAUAAAGCUUGGAGCUACUUUUGAAAAUCACUUUUCUCUUAUCUCUCUGGAGAAUCCACGAGACGCCGGUUAAAAAUAAGAAGACAAAUUUUAAUGCGCGAAAUAAACCCGCUAAUUAACAACGUUCUAUGCAGCGUCGAUAUGCAUACAUAUAUGAAAAUACAUGUGUACGUGUGUACGGUUUUUAUCUGAUAAUCCUCAUUUCAUUAGCGUAUGUUAUUAGCGAUAAUGAGGUAAUAUCAUUAAAGGGACAGACUUUGUAUCAAAUGGACGAUCAAUGCGCGCGUUCAUCUUGUAAUACAACUCGUAACACCACGUAACGUUAUUGUAAUUAUCAUUUUGCAUCUCUAAAAGCAAGAGCCACCAUUAAAUGCUCCUACGCAACGAGGAAAAUCAAGGAUACGCAAACGCCAGAAAUUAGUCGUUUUCAUAAUUAUUGUUAUAAGAUUAAUAAAAUAUCUGAAGAAUUCAACAA
rnacentral:lncRNA from 1 species